AGGAAGGCUGCCGCCUGCAGAGGAGGUCGUUCAGCCCAAGCGGCUCCUGCAACAGAUUAACUCCCAAGAGGAGCUGCUCCACAGCCGACUAAACACUCGAGUUAAAAACUACACUGCCGAUGCGCGGCCCGUCCAUCUGGCCCAGAGCAGCUUCUUGGUGGAGGCCUUUGGCACGUCCUUCAUCCUUGACCUGGAACUCAACCACAAUCUGCUAUCUACAGACUAUGUGGAGCGUCACUAUGAUGAGAAUGGG
rnacentral:lncRNA from 1 species